CCUACGGGCGGCAGCAGUGAGGAAUAUUGGUCAAUGGACGCAAGUCUGAACCAGCCAUGCCGCGUGCAGGAUGACGGCUCUAUGAGUUGUAAACUGCUUUUGUACGAGGGUAAACCCCGAUACGUGUAUCGGGUUGAAAGUAUCGUACGAAUAAGGAUCGGCUAACUCCGUGCCAGCAGCCGCGGUAAUACGGAGGAUCCGAGCGUUAUCCGGAUUUAUUGGGUUUAAAGGGUGCGUAGGCGGUUUGAUAAGUUAGAGGUGAAAUGUCGGGGCUCAACCCCGAAACUGCCUCUAAUACUGUUGGACUAGAGAAUAGUUGCGGUAGGCGGAAUGUAUGGUGUAGCGGUGAAAGGCUUAGAGAUCAUACAGAACACCGAUUGCGAAGGCAGCUUACCAAACUAUAUCUGACGUUGAGGCACGAAAGCGUGGGUAGCAAACAGGAUUAGAUACCCCAGUAGUC
rnacentral:rRNA from 1 species